AUGGCCGUUCGUUCUAGAAAGGAGACAAUAUCUAUAUCGGUUUGCUUUGCUAUGACUAUCAACAAAGGGGAGGGGCAAUCUCUAAACAAGGUAGAACUACAUCUAUCUAAACAAGUUUUCACACAUGGACAACUAUAUGUAGCCUUCUCAAGAGUCACAAAAAGGGAUGGACUGCAAGUAAUGGUAAAUGAUGAAGAUAGCAAUUAG
rnacentral:rRNA from 1 species